GAUGAACGCUGGCGGCGUGCCUAAUACAUGCAAGUCGAGCGAACAGAUAAGGAGCUUGCUCCUUUUACGUUAGCGGCGGACGGGUGAGUAACACGUGGGUAACCUACCUAUAAGACUGGAAUAACUCCGGGAAACCGGGGCUAAUGCCGGAUAACAUUUAGAACCGCAUGGUUCUAAAGUGAAAGAUGGUUUUGCCAUCACUUAUAGAUGGACCCGCGCCGUAUUAGCUAGUUGGUAAGGUAAUGGCUUACCAAGGCAACGAUACGUAGCCGACCUGAGAGGGUGAUCGGCCACACUGGAACUGAGACACGGUCCAGACUCCUACGGGAGGCAGCAGUAGGGAAUCUUCCGCAAUGGGCGAAAGCCUGACGGAGCAACGCCGCGUGAGUGAUGAAGGGUUUCGGCUCGUAAAACUCUGUUAUUAGGGAAGAACAUACGUGUAAGUAACUGUGCACGUCUUGACGGUACCUAAUCAGAAAGCCACGGCUAACUACGUGCCAGCAGCCGCAGUAA
rnacentral:rRNA from 1 species